ensembl:snRNA
GUGUUGAAUGAAAGGAAAGAAGGCGUGGACUCCCCUUCACAAGGGUGGACAAGCCUUUGGGCCUGACAACAUGUGUAUGGUCUAGGCAUUGCCACCCACUUCGUGGCAUCGCACAAAUGGCAUGG